rnacentral:rRNA from 1 species
UGGGGAAUAUUGCACAAUGGGCGCAAGCCUGAUGCAGCCAUGCCGCGUGUGUGAAGAAGGCCUUCGGGUUGUAAAGCACUUUCAGCGGGGAGGAAGGCGUUAAGGUUAAUAACCUUGGCGAUUGACGUUACCCGCAGAAGAAGCACCGGCUAACUCCGUGCCAGCAGCCGCGGUAAUACGGAGGGUGCAAGCGUUAAUCGGAAUUACUGGGCGUAAAGCGCACGCAGGCGGUCUGUCAAGUCGGAUGUGAAAUCCCCGGGCUCAACCUGGGAACUGCAUUCGAAACUGGCAGGCUAGAGUCUUGUAGAGGGGGGUAGAAUUCCAGGUGUAGCGGUGAAAUGCGUAGAGAUCUGGAGGAAUACCGGUGGCGGAGGCGGCACCCUGGACAAAGACUGACGCUCAGGUGCGAAAGCGUGGGGAGCAAACAGG